rnacentral:rRNA from 1 species
UUGACCGCAGGCUUCACCCCUUGUGGUGCUCCCCCGCCAAUUCCUUUAAGUUCAUACUUGCGUACGUACUUCCCAGGCGGCAGACUUAACGGCUUCCCUGCGGCACUGCAUUGGCCACAAGCCAAUGCAUCACCGAGUCUGCAUCGUUUACAGCUGGGACUACCCGGGUAUCUAAUCCGGCUUGCUCCCCCAGCUUUCAUCCCUCACCGUCGAACGUGUUCUGGUACACCGCCUUCGCCACAGGUGGUCUUCAAUAGAUCAAAGGAUUUUACCCCUUCCUAUCGAGUACCGUGUACCUCUCCCACUCCCUAGCUGCACAGUAUUUUCGGCGGCCUAUACGUUAAGCGCAUAGAUUUAACCGAAAACUUAUGCAACCGGCUACGGAUGCUUUAGGCCCAAUAAACCUCCUGACCACUCGAGGUGCUGGUUUUACCGCGGCGGCUGACACCAGAACUUGCCCACCCCUUAUUCACCAGUGAUUCUACAACUGACAAAAGACUCCUUUACCAGGAGACACUCGGAUUAACCUUGUCGUGCUUUCGCACAUUGCAAAGGUUUCUCGCCUGCUGCGCCCAUAGGGCCUGGGUCC